rnacentral:rRNA from 1 species
GGGGAGUAACUACUGGAAACGGUAGCUAAUACCGCAUAACGUCGCAAGACCAAAGUGGGGGACCUUCGGGCCUCAUGCCAUCAGAUGUGCCCAGAUUGGAUUAGCUAGUAGGUGGGGUAAUGGCUCACCUAGGCGACGAUCCCUAGCUGGUCUGAGAGGAUGACCAGCCACACUGGAACUGAGACACGGUCCAG